ACGGAAGGCAGCAGUGGGGAAUAUUGGACAAUGGGGGAAACCCUGAUCCAGCGACGCCGCGUGAGUGAAGAAGUAUUUCGGUAUGUAAAGCUCUAUCAGCAAGGAAGAAAAUGACGGUACUUGACUAAGAAGCCCCGGCUAACUACGUGCCAGCAGCCGCGGUAAUACGUAGGGGGCAAGCGUUAUCCGGAUUUACUGGGUGUAAAGGGAGUGUAGGUGGUUUGGCAAGCCAGAUGUGAAAGCCCGGGGCUCAACCCCGUGGACUGCAUUUGGAACUGUUAAACUUGAGUGCAGGAGAGGAAAGUGGAAUUCCUAGUGUAGCGGUGAAAUGCGUAGAUAUUAGGAGGAACACCAGUGGCGAAGGCGGCUUUCUGGACUGUAACUGACACUGAGGCUCGAAAGCGUGGGGAGCAAACAGGAUUAGAUACCCUGGUA
rnacentral:rRNA from 1 species